AGCAUGCUUUUAAUAAGCCCUCGGCUGAAAAUAAAAUAAAAAGAAAACAUAUCAACAAAACCAUUUAACCCUACGACUACUACCAGUAUGUUUGGGAAUAGAAUAAGGGAAUAAAGAAUAUAACAGAAGGAAAAGAUAAUAGCAACAUAAUAAAGAAGAGAAUUGUUUUCCUUGAUCACGUUUGAAUUUGGAAGAGGAAAAAAAUGGAGGGAAGUUGUACUAUGAAUAGUAAAAUUAUUAUUUUACUCUUUUCUUUUUCAAACAGAAAGAAAUUUUACAAGAUUGAAACAAAUUUUACAAGAUUAAAAUUAUACUUUAAUAAAAUAUUCUCUAACUUCCCUCCUAAAUUGGUGAUUAAAUGAAUUGCAGGCAUCAUGGCUUACUUUCCACUCUUUUUUUUUUUUUCUU
rnacentral:misc_RNA from 1 species